UCGAACGAACUCUGGUAUUGAUUGGUGCUUGCAUCAUGAUUUACAUUUGAGUGAGUGGCGAACUGGUGAGUAACACGUGGGAAACCUGCCCAGAAGCGGGGGAUAACACCUGGAAACAGAUGCUAAUACCGCAUAACAACUUGGACCGCAUGGUCCGAGYUUGAAAGAUGGCUUCGGCUAUCACUUUUGGAUGGUCCCGCGGCGUAUUAGCUAGAUGGUGGGGUAACGGCUCACCAUGGCAAUGAUACGUAGCCGACCUGAGAGGGUAAUCGGCCACAUUGGGACUGAGACACGGCCCAAACUCCUACGGGAGGCAGCAGUAGGGAAUCUUCCACAAUGGACGAAAGUCUGAUGGAGCAACGCCGCGUGAGUGAAGAAGGGUUUCGGCUCGUAAAACUCUGUUGUUAAAGAAGAACAUAUCUGAGAGUAACUGUUCAGGUAUUGACGGUAUUUAACCAGAAAGCCACGGCUAACUACGUGCCAGCMGCCGCGGUAAU
rnacentral:rRNA from 2 species